CCACUGUUGAGGAGUCCCACAAUAGGACGAAACGGCCGUUCAGUGC
rnacentral:hammerhead_ribozyme from 1 species